CCAACUCCCCUCUGUUCUCCCUCCUCCUCUUCCCCUCAGCUCCCCUCCCUCUCAGUUCCAUCAGCUUCCCUCCUGCUCUUCUAGUCUACUUUCCCUGUCCCCAGCCCAUCUCUUCAAGAUGUCCUAAUGGAGACUUUCUGAUUUCUCUUUUUCUGGAUUCUAGGACUUUAAAGCUUCCACAGAGCCUGGCUUUGUGCCUAACCCACAAAAAAUACCAAAUAAAUAUUUGCUGACUACGUGAAUAAAUGAAUGGAUGAAAACUGAAGCAAAAUGUGGUUUUAUUUCAUUUGAGCGCACGGCCACCGCGUCAGCUGGGUCAGAGAGCAGAGGGGCGCGUCUUCCCGGAAUCUCGGGAUCUCGGAAAUCCUCCAGCGAAGGUAGAGUCCUAACCCACAGGUUCUGCCCACCACGCGGGCCAUGUCUGCAGAUGCCCGUGGCAACGCCGGAUUAUUUAACCCAUCCCGUUUCGUCCAGCUGGUCCCUCGGCUGGAUUCAUGGAACUCAACCUUCCGACAAAUAUUUGUCUCCUCCGUUUUUUGCCCGAGUCUCUGUGCUGAGUACUUUACACGCAACUAU